ACGAACGCUGGUGGCGUGCCUAACACAUGCAAGUCGAGCGGAGGCUGAGGAGAGCCCAGCGAUGGGAAGGAAUUGGCUUUAGCGGCGAACGGGUGAGUAACACGUGGGCAAUCUGCCCUCUGGAGCGGGAUAACAGACCGAAAGGCUUGCUAAUACCGCAUGAGGCCGUACUCUCACAUGGGGGAACGGUCAAAGGGGAAACCCGCCGGAGGAGGAGCCCGCGUCCCAUUAGCUAGUUGGCGGUGUAACGGACCACCAAGGCGAUGAUGGGUAGCCGGCCUGAGAGGGUGAACGGCCACAUUGGGACUGAGACACGGCCCAGACUCCUACGGGGGGCAGCAGUGAGGGAUUUUCGGCAAUGGGCGAAAGCCUGACCGAGCGACGCCGCGUGAGCGAAGAAGGCCUUCGGGUCGUAAAGCUCUGUCUAGGGGGAAGAGAACGGACGGUACCCCUGGAGGAAGCCACGGCUAACUACGU
rnacentral:rRNA from 1 species